UGAGACCCGGCAAGCUCGUCGCACCCCGCGCACCGACACCGAAGCGGCGAGAGGAGAGCCAGCACCUGCGGGAGCGUGACGUUUGCUCCGUCGCUGGGUGUAUUUUGAAGCUGAACAGCCUGGGAAAUGGGCGUGCUGUUUGUACAGUGGCUCCGAAAGCAAACAGGGACCUGAUUCCACGCCUCGGCCUGCCGCCGGCGGCCGUUUUCCCAAGGAUGCGCGGAAACGGGCCGCGGGAAGAUGCACCGACGCUGCCGCGGGGAACGCCGGGCCCCUCCGCCGGCCCGGCCCUCGUGGGAAGCCACCGUCAUCCCGGCCUGGCCGGAAAGAGCGGGUUCGAAAAAGCGUUAUUUGCUUAAUCGGAGCAGCGGGAGGCCUGGAAGAGCUGUUUUGGGGCCGGGAGCAGGGAUUUGGGGCAAGCAAAGCCCUGCGGUGCGGCAGGGCUCCUCGCCAGCACGGUGCUCCCCGCCCGCGCCGCUGCCUCGCUGGGUGCUUCGGCUCAGGGAAGGGGCGAAGCGGGCGGAGGGCACCCAGCACUCCUGCGGUUUUUUUCUGCAUACCGGUUUCGGACAGGCUGGGAAAGGCCCCAUCCACCCCCCCCCACCCGGCACGGGCUUCCCGAAAUGCCACUGGGGUUUUGCAGGGCUGCUCCGGAGCCCAGGGCAGAGAGGUGCUCUCGCUGCAGGACACGGAUUUUAUUGCCCCUUUUUUUCUGGGUCGUUUUGCAGAUCUGAUUUAUGGUGCAGCCUCUCGUGCAGCUCGGGACAGGCUGCUGCCCCGGGGCCAGAACCAGCACCGGGGACGGGGAAGGGUGGAAAACCUGCCUUUGCCUCCCGGCAUCAUUCCCGGCGAGGCCGGUGCGGCAGCGGAGGCUGCUCCGCGUGCACCGUGCUGCAAGGAGCAGGCGGCCGCGGCUGCCUUAGGGAUCGCAGCGACGUGCGUGGAUGAAACCUGGCCCAAACCCUCCGGGGCAGCCGAAUCGGGGAGGAUGCUGGCGCACGGAGCGGGAUGAUGCUUCCCUGCCACCUCCCAAGGCCAAGGACGAGGGGUGCUCGCAGCGUGCGGCUGCCUGCAGAGCUCGGCGGGUCCCCGCAGGCGCCUUCCCCCGAGCCGCUUUCCCCCUGGGCUGCACGAACUGCGCGCGGCCACGGAGGCUGCAGAGCCCGGCCCCAGGGCUGCGCACGCCACGGGCACCUCUCCUUUUGUUUUUUGCUCUUUUACUCGCUCUUUGCCCCUUGCUCAGGCAGUUUUGGUAGCGUGCAUCCGGGCGGGUGCAGGUGCUAAGGCUGAUGCAAUGCAGCUGGCUGCGGGACGCCCAGGAGGUGCCGAUUUUCAGGGAAACGCCAAGAGGUGAGAAUGCCCUCGGCCCCUCGGAGAAGGCUCGGUACCUGCUGCUUUUAAAAGCUCGAUGGGCUCCCAGCUCUCCCCCUGCACCCGCGUCGGUGCCCUGUGGGCACGUUUCUCUCCUGGAGCCAUAGACCACAUUGGAUGAUUUGCAAAAUUCAGGCGUGGGUGCAAAACCGAGGAGGGCUGCUGCUUCCCUUCCCGGCUGCUUCCCAGGACCACGUCAGCCCUCAGCAGCCGAAUCCCGCUCUCCCUGCAUUGCAAGAGCUCCGAAACAGAUGAAGUCCUAUCAGACGGCUCCUUACCUUGCGGAAUAUAGAUGCAGUCCCCGACCGGUGCUAAAUCACCAUCUCGCCACAGAUGGCUAGACAGAGAAAUUUUAAAGAAUAAGCUUAAUUUUAUCCCCGGCUUCCGAGCGGCCGUGGCGCGGCAGCGUUGGACCGGCGGGAGGUUGCUGCUCGGUGACGGCGCAUUGCCGGGCCCCAGCGCUUUGGUGUGCUGGGACGGGGCGUCCUCGGAGCAGCGGCUCAUCCCAAGGGGAAUGCCUUCCCGCGGGAGCCGUGCCGGAGCCGGUCCUGCUGGGGAGCGGGCUGAGAGAUGGGCCGAGCACGGUAAGUGGGAAAAAUAAUAUGAAACCCUGGAAAUUUUGGCUUUUCCAUGCAGAGGUUCAGCAGAAGUGCAUCUUCCAGCGAUGCAUGGGAUUUCUUUGUUUGGGGGCAUGUUACUAUUUUUUUUAGUGUUGUCUUGGGGUCCAGCAGUCGUUUCGACUGGCCUGAAACACCUCUUGCUGUCGUCUUCCCGCCGCUUAACCAGAAAAGCCACCCAAAAUUAGUUUUGGGUGAGCCUCUUCUUUUCGGUUCCUUAGCUGAGACAGAUGCAUUUCAUCUGUCUGAAACGGAAACAUUUCAGUAUGCUUGGGUUUUUUUCCAUAUACUUCCAUAUACUUCCAUAUUUCCAUAUACUGUCUGCAUUUAAACAUAUUUCAAAAUCAGAAAAGCGCCAUCCUACUUAAAAAUGCGAAAAAUAGGAUUUUUCAGCUUUCCAAACCCCUUUCUUGCCCCGAAGCUGUUUGCUGCAUUCGCAAGCAGUUUCCGUCGAGCGGAGCCACGUGCCGGUGGCGAAAAUGGGGGCAGAACUGGAGGAAAAGGGGGGAAGCAGGAGCCUGAUGAGGAGAAGCUGCCGGAGGUGGAGAGCAGCACUGAUAUUUGGGGUAAAAUGGAAAUAUCAGCCAUGAGAUUGCUCGUCGUUGGUCAUCCCCAACCGCCUCACGCGGUCAGAAAAACAGGCAUUAAGCCGCGCUUUGCAGGCUGGCUCGGGCACCGAAGCAUCGCGCUCGGCGGGAAGCGCUGGCGUUUACCUGCUGAUGGUCAACCACAAGGAAAAAAAAAAAAAAGAAAAAGGGAAACAAACAAACCAAAAAAACCCCUGAAUGAUAGGGGAACAUAAAUUAUCGAGAACUGGCAAGAAAUGAAAGUGUUGCAUGGUCCCCUGACAGCAAUGGGAUGAAUAACUGAUGAUGAUUAGUUAAAUCAUAACAUUGCUCAUGCCAUGCAUAAAUGAUGAGCCAACUGCUCGCGAUGCCCUGAUGAGAUGCAGCAUUCUUCGCUUUCUAUCAUUCCCACUUUGUAGCCCCAAAGAAACUACCACAUUUCUGCAUUUUUGUGUUAUCUGGCACAUCAAGCAAUGCGACAAUGAAUAUAUAUUGACCUUAUUAUAGCAGCCGGCUGCUUGUGCCAGAAGCAACCAGGCAUACUUUGCACAAAUUAAAGCUGUCAGCAUGUAAUUUAUGGUUCAUUGCAAAAGAGGAGCAGAACUCUGAGGGGAACAUUGUGGUUUGGGAAGCAGGCAGGUAGGCAGAUGAAUUGCAUGAUAAAAUAUCUUGCUAAUGAUGUGAUGUUAAAGCUGAAGUGUCAUUUUCAUUCUGUUUUGCACAUUUUUUUAGUUAUUUCUUGCUCAAGAUGAUUUUUCCCCCCUCCGCAGUUCUUUUUUUCCUUUUUCUUUCCACAAGCUAAAUUACUGGUUAUACCUGAAAAGGAUGAAGUAGGUGUGAUAAUUUAUGAGUAGACGGCGGCUGUCGGAAGCCGGCGCGGUGGCGUCGAGCGAUGCGGGAGCCGUCGCAGCAGUGCAGCCAGCAGGCUCGACAUCUGGGGUGUGCGCCUGUGAUUAAAGUUCUGCUCCCUUCUCCGAGGAGAGAAUAGACUCGGGGAAAAAUAAAAUAAAGAAAUCCA